AUUGAACGCUGGCGGCAGGCUUAACACAUGCAAGUCGAACGAGUGGCGGACGGGUGAGUAAUGCUUGGGAAUCUAGCUUAUGGAGGGGGAUAACUACGGGAAACUGUAGCUAAUACCGCAUACCAUAGGAUGAGCCCAGGUGGGAUUAGGUAGUUGGUGGGGUAAAGGCUCACCAAGGCGACGAUCCCUAGCUGGUCUGAGAGGAUGACCAGCCACACUGGAACUGAGACACGGCCCAGACUCCUACGGGAGGCAGCAGUGGGGAAUAUUGCGCAAUGGGGGCAACCCUGACGCAGCCAUGCCGCGUGUAUGAAGAAGGCCUUCGGGUGGGAAAGCUCUUUCGGUGGCGAGGCGUUAACUGCAGAAGAAGCACCGGCUAACUCCGUGCCAGCAGCCGCGGUAAUUC
rnacentral:rRNA from 1 species